rnacentral:miRNA from 14 species
AUCCCGGACGAGCCCCCAAAUGAAAGAUCCCUGAAGAGAGACCCUUUCUAAAGUCGCGGGAAAUCGCAGACCCCAGACACAGAGAGACCA